UGGGGAAUAUUGCACAAUGGGCGAAAGCCUGAUGCAGCGACGCCGCGUGAGGGAUGACGGCCUUCGGGUUGUAAACCUCUUUCAGUAGGGACGAAGCGCAAGUGACGGUACCUGCAGAAGAAGCACCGGCUAACUACGUGCCAGCAGCCGCGGUAAUACGUAGGGUGCGAGCGUUGUCCGGAAUUACUGGGCGUAAAGAGCUCGUAGGCGGUUUGUCACGUCGUCUGUGAAAUCCUAGGGCUUAACCCUGGACGUGCAGGCGAUACGGGCUGACUUGAGUACUACAGGGGAGACUGGAAUUUCUGGUGUAGCGGUGGAAUGCACAGAUAUCAGGAAGAACACCGAUGGCGAAGGCAGGGCUCUGGGUAGUAACUGACGCUGAGGAGCGAAAGCAUGGGUAGCGAACAGG
rnacentral:rRNA from 1 species